AUAUGUGUCUACUUGCUCUAGCGCAUAUCUUGACGUAUCGCAGAACAUCAUGCCGUAUGGAGUAAUUGUUGUUCUUCCUUGCUUCGGAUUGUAAAAUUCCAUUUCUUUCUUUUUGCGAUAGCUUUUGGGUGUAUACUUGUCAUAUAUUACAGUCUUAAACUAUUCCCACGUUAAAUUUCCUAACUACUCAAUUGUCAUUGUCUUCCUCCUUGCUUCCCACCAUAAGUCAGCUGAAAGGAUACGCAAGUAAGACGUUCCAGAUCUGUGCAGCGCAAGAAAUUGAAGAUGCGCUCACUAGCUUGUACCCAAGUCUCAGCCUUUGUUGGAUCUCCUAUCCUAUCGAAGACAGGUGGGUUUCCUCGUAGAAAUAGUUCUUCUAUUCUACGUUUUUGUUGUAUGGUUAGUGGCGUUAUAUUGUUCUAGCCAUGGUACUGGGCCUUUUUCAUUAUCUCGUGGAAUUCUUCCUCUUCUUCUCGGACUCCCUUGUUUUGGUGGCGUACUGAUGAGUUGACACGUAGUCAUCAAUACAUACAUAUGCAUAUCAUCACUUCUGUAAACCGUUUCUUGAUUCUCAAAUCUUGCUCGCACUCUUCCUCGUGCAAGCAUAUAAGUAAAAUGUGGCGGAAGUGACUUGCCGCAAAAGAUC
rnacentral:lncRNA from 1 species